UGGCGACCGGCGCACGGGUGAGUAACGCGUAUCCAACCUUCCCUUUACUCUGGUAUAGCCCAGCGAAAGUUGGAUUAAUACCGGAUGUUAUCGAAAGCUCUCAUGAGACUUUGAUCAAAGAUUUUAUCGGUAAAGGAUGGGGAUGCGUCUGAUUAGGCAGUUGGCGGGGUAACGGCCCACCAAACCUACGAUCAGUAGGGGUUCUGAGAGGAAGGUCCCCCACAUUGGAACUGAGACACGGUCCAAACUCC
rnacentral:rRNA from 1 species